CGUAAUUUACAACUACAGAAUAAUUACUGUAAAAUAUUACUGUCAACACAUGUCAAAUAACAAAUCUCGUAUUAAAUACAUUCGUCUAUUAUACUGUAAUUUACGAUUACAGUACACUUACUGUAAAAAAUAGCAGUACAGUAUUCGGUAAAAACAGAUAUGUUUAACAGUGUGGAAUAUAUUUAUGAAACUAUUCUAGAGAUAAAUGCAAGAACUAAACGUUCACUUAUUAAACAACAUUUAGCAUCAAUGUCCAAUGAAAACUAAACACGACUAAAAUUACAUUUAAUUUUAAUAUACAGUAUCUUGCACGAACUAAAACUAAACGCGAACCAAAUAUUUAAGUCCAGGGAUAAACCUUGAACAGCAAUCGUGCAGAACAUUUCGGUCAACAAAUAGCACGCUUAAUUAAUGAUGACCUUGGCAAGUUCUUCGUGUAUGCCUAAAAGUUCUUCCAAAGCUUUUUGAAAAUGAAAUACUUGUUUCAAGCAAGAACUGAUUGAACUAUUAUACUAAGAUAUUUUUUCUUUUCUAAUUAACUAAAACUAAAGUGAGACUAAAGUGGGAUUUUUUAUUCAAAGUUCAAACUGGAACUGAACUAAAGUUAAAAUGAUUUCUUUUUAAACG